rnacentral:tRNA from 1 species
AAAGAAUUAGUUAAUAUACAUAUUAAUAUAAAUUUGUCAAAUUUAAGUAAUUUUAAUAAAAAUAUUCUUUU